rnacentral:lncRNA from 1 species
GGGGCAAGAAAUUCUGUUCAGAAUCCUCCAAGAUGAGAGCGUGUCUCAGGUAAGUUCACUCUCAGUUCUCAAGACCCUCCUGGAUAAUGGGAUUUAGUUUUUAAAAUUCUCAGGACCCUCCUAGAUAAUGAGAUUUAACAAAGUUUUCAGGACUCUCCUGGAUAAUGGGAUUUCAUUUCAUAAUUCUCAGGACCCUCCUGGAUAAUGGGACUUAGUAUUUAAAAUUCUCAGGACCCUCCUGGAUAAUGAGAUUUAGGUUUUUUAAAAAUAAAAAAAAUUCUCAGGACCCGCAUGGAUAAUGGGAUUUAGUUUUUAAAAUUCUCAUGACCCUUCUGGAUUAUGGGAUUUAGUUAUUAAAAAUUCUCAGGACCCUCCUAGAUAAUGAGAUUUAGUUUUUAAAAUUUUCAGGACCCUCCUGGAUAAUGGGAUUCAGGAUUUUAAAAUUCUCAGGAUCCUCUUGGAUAAUGGGUUUAGCUUUUAAAUUCUUAUAGUUCUGUAGGUGAUAUGGUCCGAUUAACACUUAGAAAUAUGCCCAGAUCCCAAACCGGGGAAGAAAAAGUUUCUUUUGUUUUGUCUGUUUUGUUGCAGUAUCAGGCGUCCACCUGGAUAACGAGGGAAUACAUUUCAAGUUUUUGCAAUCAGGCGCCCACCUGGAUAACGAGGGAAUUCAUUUUAAGUCUUUGCAAUCAGGCGCUCACCUGGAUAACGAGGGAAUACAUUUCAAGUCUUUACAAUCAGGCGCCCACCUGGAUAAUGAGGGAAUACUUUUCAAGUCUUUGCAAUCAAGAGCCCACCUGGAGAACGAGGGAAUACUGUCCAAGUUUUUGCAAUAAGGGGGAAUAUAUUUUAUGUAAUUGCAAUCAGGCGCCCACCUGGACAGCGAGGGAAUACAUUCCAAGUUUUUGCAAUCAAGCGCCCACCUGGAGAACGAGGGAAUGCAAUCCAAGUUUUUACAAUUAGUCGCCCACCUGGAUAACGAGGGAAUACAUUUCAAGUCUUUGCAAUCAGGUGCCCACCUGGAGAACGAGGGAAUACAGUCCAAGUUUUUGCAAUCAGGCGCCCACCUAGAGAACGAGAAAAUACAUUUCAAGUCUUUGCAAUCAGACGCCCACCUGGAGAACGAGGGAAUAUAUUUCAAGUAAUUGCAAUCAGGUGCCCACCUGGAGAACGAGGUAAUUAAUUUCAGAGUUACUUCAACUCACAAAUUCAAGAAGCAUCAGGAGCCUGCCUGAAGAGCAGGGUCCAUUUUUCAGUUGCAUAUUGAAGUUCAAGUAGAGAUU